UACGGGGGGGGCAAGCGUUGUUCGGAAUUACUGGGCGUAAAGGGCUCGUAGGCGGCCCACUAAGUCCGACGUGAAAUCCCCAGGCUUAACUUGGGAACUGCGUCGGAUACUGGUGGGCUUGAAUCCGGGAGAGGGAUGCGGAAUUCCAGGUGUAGCGGUGAAAUGCGUAGAUAUCAGGAGGAACACCGGUGGCGAAGGCGGGUCUCUGGGCCGAUACUGACACUGAGGAGCGAAAGCGUGGGGAGCGAACAGG
rnacentral:rRNA from 1 species